AAUUAUAAAUUUUUAUACAAAUACGUUUAUGUUUUAGAAACUAACUUUGAUAUUUAUUAAUUAAACAGUUUAAAUCUAAAUAGUUAUACUAAACAAUAGAAUUUUUCUCAUAAGUCAAAAGAUUAGGUUUUUUUAUAUUGAUAAUAAUUACAUAUUUAUGUGAAUUUUUCUUUUAGUUUUUUAUAAUUCAUACAUUGAAAUAUAAUCAAUUUAAAUUUUAUAAAGAGAAAAUUUUACAAUGACAAUGUUACCAUCAACUAAUAUUGUAUUAGAAGAAGAGAUUGACAAAAAAUUUGAGCCGAGUGAAGAAGAGCUGGUGGAGUAUGCGAGGUGGCUGGGCAUGCGAUUGCCGGAGUACAAUGACCUGCUGUGGAUCGCACGAGAGGGACUCAAGGCGCCUUUGCCUGUUCACUGGAAACCCUGCUGGACGGAGGAUGAUGAGAUUUACUACUUCAAUUUUGAGUCGGGGGAAAGUGUUUGGGAGCACCCGUGUGAUGAAUACUACAGGAAAUUGUAUGUGGAGAUGGUGUCGAAGAAAAGUGCGAAUUUCCAGCAACACCGAGCUCUGGACUCUUCUUGUCUGCAAACCAUGUCGGCGUUGGAACAGAAUAAUGACAUGUUUAAACGACAUGAGAGACCUUCGUUUGGGAGCUCGGGACCAGAAGUACAGUCACCUGACCCAGUUUCGCCGGCGCGUCAGCUGAAUUGGGAACCUCCAUAUGCAGCGUCUUCUUCCUACAAUCCCAAUACUCCGAUGCACCAUUCUCAAAGACAAGACUCUCCUUCCCAACGUCUUGUGCACACAAUUGCAGAUGCGCAUGCAACUGGUGCCCGAGGCACUUCGGCCAGCCCCAGAGACCAAACCUGGGACAUGCAGCCUCUGCAGGAGAGCAUUGUUGCGGCGGAGCGAAGCGGUGGGUCGGCGUCGAAAGAAUCGAUGCAUCAGGAUGAGAAGCCCAGGUCCACUGACGCUGAGAUACGAGCUCUUCAGUCGCACGCUCGGCAGAACCUCCAUUCUCAAGAAAAAGAAAGAAGUACUAUUGUUGAAAAUGAUUCAAACCUAUCAAAAUUAGAAGAUUUCUUUGUGAUGGAUAACACAAAAAGAAGAAUGUUUGAUUAUAUGAAAGAUGCAAUUGAAUCACUUAAAGAAAUGUUGAUUUGCAUAUUUUCUUGGUGUUUGUCCACGGAUGAAAUACAAAUGAUGGAAUUAUCGCACAAUGAUUUGGAACUAAAAAUACGUGAGUUCUUAACACAUGGAUUUACUUCAUUCCAAGAAGAAAAAUUAAACAAGAAGGAUAAAUUAUUCAAAUUAAUAAAAGAUCAAUUAUUUAAAACAAUUGAAAAUAUAGUACAAACCCAUGAAUGGAAAGAAGUUUUGGAAGUUGUACAAUUGACAAAUGCUCAAGAGAAAAUGCCAAAUGAACUUAAAAAAAGUCAAGUUGAGCAGCAAAUGUUGUCUAAAGAUGAAUGUGCAAGGCUGGUCACCGAAAAUUUAAUCCCAGAAUUUGUAAAACAAAUGAAAUGUGCCAACCACGAACUUUUACUGCAAAUGCUUCAAACAGUACAAAUUGAAGAAGUUGAUUCCAAGGGUGUUUUGUUCGAAAGUUUACUUAAAAAGUUUGAGCUUGCAAACCCAAUUGUCAAAAACCCAAACCUUGUAACUGAAGUGCUUUCAAGUCUACAGAAUGGGAUGGACAAUCUGGCAGAAGUUUGUAUGCACAAAUGCAAACAAAAAACCCUAAAAGGAAAAAAUAGCACCAAACACAUCUUUUUAGGGCUAAUGAAUUAUUUGCAUUUGCCUCAUUUAUUGCAAAAAUGUGAACCAUGGAAACCCAAUACCACCAAGAUUUACAUGAACGAAACUAAUCACAAUGAUCAUAAAGAAGAAGCCAAGUAUAUGAAAACUUCCCACAAUUGGUUGCAUUCUCAAUGUGCACAAAACAUCAAAGAAGGGUUCCAUAGCGGGUUUCGAGAAGAAGAAGAGCCUUUAAGAAUGGAAAGGAAUGAUUUUGUCAUUGAAGGAGAACAACUUCAACAUGAUGUGGGAAAAAUCAAAAGGACCCAAGAUGCAUUGCAAAACGUGGCUCUUGUUGCGAUUCAUCCUAAUUUAGAGCUACCCAAAAAAUCCAUCAAACUUUGUCUUUGCAUUGGGUGUUGUUUGCAACAAAGCAAAGACAAAGAGAGUUGUGUCAAUCACUUGGAAGACAUUAUUGAAUAUGGGAGAAAAGAAUCUAAUAUAAAACACAUGAAGUCAAACAAAUGUAGAUUGAAACAAUGGAAUUGUUAUAUGACCUUAUUUAAACCAAAAUCUAAAGACAAACAUGUGAAAAGUGUUUGUAAAACGAAGUUCCCCCUCUUCCACAAAGAACUUAAGAAAUCAAAAGCUCCCAACUCAAUGAAAAUAUCAAUUGGUGAAGAUAAUAUUUUACAUAUGCACAGUGAAUGGCAAAAAGAACCAGUGGUGCAAAAUAAGCAAAUACAAAAAAUAAUUGCUAUACUCAAGGAAGAGAAAUUAAGCUCCAAAAAUUUGAAUCAAGAGAAAUAAAGUAAUAAACUUGCUAUGGUUAUUUCUUCAAAAGGCACAAAAUAUAAGUCAAGUUAUGGAUCGUCAAAACAUGACCACAAAUUCAAAUCUGAGCUAUUGAAUUUGUAUUUUUAUGUGUGUUUGUGUGUAUAUAUAUAUAUAUAUAUAUAUAUAUAUGUUCUAUUUUUGUAAGACAAUAUCUACUAUUAAAUGAUAUGUGUCAUAUAAAUAAUCAAGUACACACACUUAUAUUUUCCAAAAGUGGAUGAUUUCCUCAGAUAUAUAAUUCUCUCAACACUUAAUUUGCAAAUGACCAUUUGACUUGAAAUGUUAUACACAAUUUGUUAUUAAAAAAAUUAAGAUCUUAAAAUUACUCAUUUAUUUCUUAUUGGGAAAACUUAAUAAAACAUUUGCAUUGAUUAUUUACAACUCAAAUGAAUGUAUGAAAAAUUUACAUAUGUUUUGACACAUAAUAAAAUAUCAUUUAAAAGUUACUCUUAAAAAAACUUGGAAUAUUCAAUUACAAUAUUCUAGAUGAAAGUAUCUUUGAAAUGAAAUUACCAACAAAUAACACAUUCUUUUAAAGUAAUGUAAUCCAAAUUUUUUGUGGCAUAAUAUUUUUGAAAAUAGUAAUAAAGAAGAAAAAAUUAAAACAUACACAAAAAUAACAACUCAUGUCAUAUUUAGUAAUCAUAUUUUUAUAAUCAAUUAAGAGUGGUUCAACAUGAUUCAUGUAAUUCAUAAUGUAGAACCAUAAGUUUCAUAGAUUAAUUUUAAUAACGUGUUUUGUAGAAUGAUAACGACCUAUAUAAAUAUUACUUUGCAAAAGUGUUCUAAACAAUGACAUUACAAAACCAAUCCAAGUUUCGUUAUUCAAGUCUUUGUUGAUAUUUUUUUACAUGGCAUUGGCAACUCAAAAUAACUCCUUAUUUCAUUUGGUUUUCUCCUUGAAUCAGGGUGUAUAUAUAUAUAUAUAUAUAUAUAUGAAGAUAUACAAAUACAUAUAUAGUCAAAACAUCUAAAUAUAUGCAUUAUUAUAAAGAACCAAUUGUGUUAAAUGUAAAAUUUUAAUGAAAUUAGAUACUUGUUUUGUUCAAUUUAAUGAGCAACAAAGAGUAAGUUAUUGAUUGUAACUAUUUUUGAACAUUAUAGAUUAUCUACUAAUUUUAAAAGUAAAAAUUAAUUUCUUCUUGCCACAAUUUCAACCCUCUACAGGAUGUAAAAAUAUACAACUCUUUCAAUAGAACUCAUUGAUUGGCUAGUUUUCCUGUUCAGAAGAAACUCCAUUUUCAAGAGAAGUUUGGACACACAACACAAAGCCUCAAUACGAAAGAUACUUUUGGAGUCCUUGUAAAGAGAUCAUUUAAACAAUCUCAAGAUAUUUUUGAUAUUUAUAGAAAUUUCUCAAAUUUAUUCAAAGUUUAUUACAAGCUUGGAAAGGUUAAAUUUAUAUUUAAUCCGUAUCAAUCAACAUGCUUACAACCAAAACAAAGAAAGCAUUGAUUCUUUGAAUCUUUUGAUAUUCUUAGAGUAUUUUCUUUUAAGAAAAUUUAAAUCUUCUCGAAUUUAGAUUAUGCUAAAACAAUUUCCAUGAAAGAGUGAACUUUUCAGCUAUAAAUUAGUAAAAUAAAGAUUUUAAUUUUUCAAUAAAAAAUCAGACCAAAAAAUAUGCAUUAAAAAAUUAUUAUUUUUUAAAUUGGAGGCUAAGCAAGCAAAUUGAUUUUUUUUAGCAUGAUUUAAUUGAUUUAAUAGAAAAUGUGUAUCCAUAGAACAUGAAAUGAUAAAAAUGACUUGUGCCAAGUAUAAAGAGAUUAGUGAAUCUUAAACCAAUAUUCUACUUUAAUUAUGUAGAUAAUCGUCACACAAUAUGUCAAACUGUAAAUAAACAACAGCCCACAAAUAAUUCAAAAAGAAGUUUAUCACAUCACACAAAACUUUUAAUAGUUUGAUUAAAUGAUAU